rnacentral:rRNA from 1 species
UACGGAGGGUGCAAGCGUUAUCCGGAUUUACUGGGUUUAAAGGGUGCGUAGGUGGGUAGGUAAGUCAGUGGUGAAAUCUCCGGGCUUAACCCGGAAACUGCCAUUGAUACUAUUUAUCUUGAAUACUUUGGAGGUAAGCGGAAUAUGUCAUGUAGCGGUGAAAUGCUUAGAUAUGACAUAGAACACCAAUUGCGAAGGCAGCUCACUACACAAAGAUUGACACUGAGGCACGAAAGCGUGGGGAUCAAACAGG